UGCACGCUCCUUAGAUCCGUUUCAUUCUUAAUGUGAAACGCUUGAGUCAUAAGUGUGCUAGAUUAUGGUACCUCCAUCUUGAGACUGAGACGUGGCAUUCACUGUUGAUGGCACUUGUCUUGAAAUGGGGAACAU